AGUAAUGUGUAGAGAAUCUGCCCUGUACUGGGGGACAACAGAGGGAAACUUCUGCUAAUACCCCAUAUGAGCGUACCUGCGAUGGUAUUCUUGAAAGUUCCGGCGGUACAGGAUGAGUCUGCAUCUGAUUAGCUAGUUGGUGGUGUAAUGGACUACCAAGGCGACGAUCAGUAGCCGGACUGAGAGGUUGGCCGGCCACAUUGGGACUGAGACACGGCCCAGACUCCUACGGAAGGCAGCAG
rnacentral:rRNA from 1 species